rnacentral:rRNA from 1 species
CGUUGACCUCGGAUCAGGUAGGAAUACCCGCUGAACUUAAGCAUAUCAAUAAGCGGAGGAAAAGAAACCAACAGGGAUUGCCUUAGUAACGGCGAGUGAAGCGGCAACAGCUCAAAUUUGAAAUCUGGCCCCAGGCCCGAGUUGUAAUUUGCAGAGGAUGCUUUUGGCGCGGUGCCUUCCGAGUUCCCUGGAACGGGACGCCAUAGAGGGUGAGAGCCCCGUCUGGUUGGAUACCAAGCCUUUGUAAAGCUCCUUUCGACGAGUCGAGUAGUUUGGGAAUGCUGCUCUAAAUGGGAGGUAUAUGUCUUCUAAAGCUAAAUACCGGCCAGAGACCGAUAGCGCACAAGUAGAGUGAUCGAAAGAUGAAAAGCACUUUGGAAAGAGAGUUAAACAGCACGUGAAAUUGUUAAAAGGGAAGCGUUUAUGACCAGACUUGGGCCGGUUAAUCAUCCAGCGUUCUCGCUGGUGCACUUUGCCGGUCCAGGCCAGCAUCAGUUCGCUGCGGGGGAUAAAGGCGUCGGGAAUGUGGCUCCUCCGGAGUGUUAUAGCCCUUCGCGCAAUACCCUGCGGUGGACUGAGGUUCGCGCAUCUGCAAGGAUGCUGGCGUAAUGGUCAUCAACGACCCGUCUUGAAACACGGACCAAGGAGUCGUCUUCGUAUGCGAGUGUUCGGGUGUAAAACCCCUACGCGUAAUGAAAGUGAACGCAGGUGAGAGCUUCGGCGCAUCAUCGACCGAUCCUGAUGUUCUCGGAUGGAUUUGAGUAAGAGCAUACGGGGCCGGACCCGAAAGAAGGUGAACUAUGCCUGUAUAGGGUGAAGCCAGAGGAAACUCUGGUGGAGGCUCGCAGCGGUUUUGACGUGCAAAUCGAU